GGAAUGUGAUUGGUGAAAAACGUCUAUUUUACUUCCGGUCGACGUCCGUGUUGUCAAAAACGUCACUUGCUUAAGCUCACUAAUGCUUUUGGAAGAGUUAUAGGGGUCGGGUGUGAUAUACUUUUUCAGGUAUUUUGUGUCUGAUGUAUGUAAGAGCUUUAUUAUUGGGUUUCUUGGUGAGACCUUAUAUCUUAUGUGUCCUAUAACCCCCUGUAAUUGCGGAUUAUUGCAUACAUUCUAAUUGUUUUUUUUUUGUAGGAGUCUGAAGAUGCAAAUGAUACAAUUUCAAACUUAUCACAACCCAUAUUGUGGUCGUUGGCAUCGAACUUACUAGAAUACGACUAGAAACUGUCAAUCAUACGUUAUCGAGGGAAAGGAUGAAAGUUCCAUAACAAGCAACAGUUGUUUUGAUGCAAUUAUCGCCUUAUUGGCAAGUUUUUACAUCUUCAAUAUUGAGUACUGCCACACGAAGAGCAUCUUGUCUGCUUUGCAGACUAUAGUAGUGCAUGGGCAAGACAGAAAAUGGCAUAUACAACUGCCAGUGAGGGUCACAGCCCUCUUCAAUGACUUGUCAUGACUCAUGAGUAUUAGUACUACAGUAAUUUUACACUUUUUGAGAGUUAUGUUGACAUAUGCUAACCCAAGUUAAUGUUAUUGAUGGAAUGUGUGUAUUGUCUCACAUCUCACCGAACUGUGGUAUAAAUGUAUUAGAAAUUAUUAGUAUUGCGUUCAUGUUAACAACCGCGCCUGCUAUUGCUAUCACAAGUUGAUUGCUCUUUAAAAUUAGAAUUGUAACUACUUUCGGAGCCAUAUGGCAUAUAUGUACGAAUCUUUUGAUGGUUCCCACAUUUCGGUGAGAUCCAUAAUACUGACUACUGUGCAUGUAUAUUGUAAUUUUAGUUAUAGUAUUGUGUUUAUAAUACAGAAAUUGGAACAUUUAUCUCAACUUAUAUUGCAAUAAUUCAUUCCAAUCUUGGUCUGUUGGAGAAAUUGUAAUAAUUUAAUCAAGACCAAAUAAACCCCAAUAUUUUUGCCUGAUUCAUUAUAUACAUGUAGAAUACGUCUACAUGCAAGAGUGCAACCAAAUCCACAUGACUUUAAAUGCUAUAUAAAACGGCACCACCAAAAAGCUAUAUCAGCUCGAUCGGUUCUAAAGCACCUCUUCAUUGGGGCUGAGACUGCUCUCCUCUGAAAGGGCCAGAACAGCUCCGGUUAACAAAGUAGGGGUUAAAUUGGCUUUUCUUUUGGAUCUAUAAUGGCUCUGAAAUUGGACCAAAUUGACCCUUUGGGUGCUACAAACUACACCAUGAAAAAAGCUAUAUUAGCUCCUUCGGCUCUAAAGCAGCUCUUCUUUGGGGCUGAAACUGUGCUCUUCUGAGAGGGCCAAAAUAGCUCUGGUUAAAAAAGUAGGGGUUAAAUUGGCCUUUCUUGUGGUCUAUAAUGGCUCAGAAAUAGAACCAUAUUGGCCCUUUGGGUGCUAAAAAACUACACCAUUAGAAAAGCUAUAUCGGCUCCGUCGGUUCUAAAGCAGCUCUUCAUUGGGGCUGAAACUACUCUGUAACUCAGUAGCCAAAACAGCUCCGGUUAGCGAGCCAAAUCAACGCUUUUUGGGGUUCAUUAUGACCACAAAUGGGAGCCAAAUUAACUCCUCGAAAUGCCAAAAUAGCCCCCUAAUUUUCUGAAUUGGCCCCUAUUGAAAGUUGAAAUAGCCCCUGCUUUUGCCAAAACAGCUCCUACUAAAAGCUGAAACAGCCCUUACACUGGAAGGGCCAAAUCACCCCUAGGGGCCGCAUUGUUAUAGGUGCCAUUUUGACCCCCAAAAAAGAUCUAUUUUGCGGUCACCGUUUUGGCCCCAUUUUUGGGGUCGUUUCAGCCCUUUUUAAUUUACAGUGUA
rnacentral:lncRNA from 1 species